rnacentral:rRNA from 1 species
AGGAUGAACGCUAGCGAUAGGCCUAACACAUGCAAGUCGAGGGGCAGCAUUGAUUGCUUGCAAUCAGAUGGCGACCGGCGGAUGGGUGAGUAACGCGUAUGCAACCUACCGAUAACAGUUGGAUAGCUCUCUGAAAGGGGAAUUAAACCGGCAUAAUACUAAGAGAUCGCCUGUUUUUUUAGUUAAAUAUUUAUAGGUUAUCGAUGGGCAUGCGUGACAUUAGCUAGUUGGUGAGGUAACUGCUCACCAAGGCUUCGAUGUCUAGGGGUUCUGAGAGGAAGGUCCCCCACACUGGUACUGAGACACGGACCAGACUCCUACGGGAGGCAGCAGUGAGGAAUAUUGGUCAAUGGACGGAAGUCUGAACCAGCCACUUCGCGUGCAGGAAGACUGCCCUAUGGGUUGUAAACUGCUUUUAUAUGAGAGGAAAUUUAUCUACGUGUAGAUAUUUGCCAGUAUUAUAUGAAUAAGGAUCGGCUAACUCCGUGCCAGCAGCCGCGGUAAUACGGAGGAUCCGAGCGUUAUCCGGAUUUAUUGGGU